GCUCCCCGGAACGGGGGUGUGGAUUGACUUGUGCUCACACACAGGCUUCUUGGUGGCGGCAGCAGCAGCCUUAGCGUCUCAUGCCCAUCUCUGGGGUCCGCGCUUUUAGCCGCGGCUCACGCCCGUUAAUGGAGCUCCUUUAAGCAGGGCUCUUAAUCCCCUCUCCUCGCGCACCAGGAAACAAAGAGGGAAGAAAAAGUCUCUUGCCUCUUCGGCAGGGCCAGACUUUUCCCCAGACUCCCUCCAGGCUAGCCGUGGUGCACUAACCCCCUGCAGGCUGUGUUCACGCCCCCAACCCCAGUCCUCUCCCUGCGCUCCGACCGAAGCCCGAGCCUCAACUCCCAGCCCCACCCGCCCCGGCGCGGGAGCAGACAAGCCUCUCGGACUGGACAUUGCUGCCAUGUGACAAGCCCCGCUGAUGCCAUUGAGGAUGUGAGGCCACGUGGAAGGAGAUCCCAGCCAUCCAGCCCAAAUUGCCCACUCACAGCAUUGUCGUGUUAGGACCUUGUGCGUUUCCACUUGCUCUGCCUGGCUGGAAUCUCUGCACCCCGGGGAGACCGUAUUGAACCCCGUGAUGGCAUCGCUGAGACUGGGCGCCUGUUUUUCCUCCCAAGAAGCCACAGUGCCGAGGAAGAGAACCUGAACCAUCUGUAAGAAUGUCCUCACACAAAAGCAACAUUUACCAUGUGCUUGGUAUGCGCUGGGCACGGGAUGGAACUGAGUAAGACUGACAUUGCCCCUCCACUCAGGAAACUUCUGGUCUCCUGAGCAGCCCAGCACUGACGGCGUAACAGUGCUGUGGAGCCCUGUGGGAGCCCACGGAGUAAAGGAACAUUAGGCGGGAUUGGAGGAGGUUUUACAGAGGAAACGGCUUGAGCAAAAGUCAGGAAGCGAGAGAGGACGAGGCUCCUGGAGAAUGGUAAGCAGCUUCAUGUGAUUGGGACAUGGACUGCUGAAUGUUGUGGGGAGGAAGGUGGCUGGACAGAUAAUGGAGCCCAGAUCGUGAAGGUUCUUGUAAACCAGCUUUGGUUGUUCCUGGAGGGUUUGAAGUAAGGACACUUCAUUUCUCUGCCUCAACCAUGGCUAAAAUUUAAUCCCCUAUGAGAAAUUCUUCAACAACCAACAAGCCAGCGUUUACUGAGGGUAUGCUUUGUGUAGAGUCUUAUAUUUAGAAAUGAAUAUACAACACUAAACAUGGGACAAGCUUCACUUUUUAGAUCUCCCCACCAGCCAUCAACACUCGCCAGAAUAUCAAGUCCACAGGCACCUGAGGUGCGUGGUAUUGUGCCAUGUGUUAAGUAUGGAAGGGCACAUGGUCGGCAUCCCAGAAGUGAGUGGGCCUGGAUGUAUAUUGAGCUACCUGGAUAUUCUGAACUUGAGGCCCCUCUUGCCUUUGGCCUCCAUCCAAGUCCUGACUUUUCCUUAGCAGACCUGCUCAUCCUGAGAAUUUGGAUUUGCUCGCCCACCCUGCUUAGCUGCUGCUCACCUGCUGACUGCCACAUCUUGAUUGUCAUGUUGAACUCUCUCCCUCUAAGACAACGACCCUCAGCUUGAGCAUCCUGACGGUGAUACGUGACCCCUCACCUCUGGUCCAGAGUGGGCUUGCCCAGCGUCCCCCCCACAUCUCCGCAUGAUGGGUACCUAUGGAAAGGGUCAUGGCUCUCAGCCUGUCUCGCACCAGCUUGACGAGCAUACUCUUCUGGAGUGGGGUGGAGCGGCAGCACAGGACAGACCGGCAAUACUGGGUCAACUCCAGAAAUUUCUCCUCCAGUUUUCCCUGGAAAAUGGCAUUCAACGUCUUCCCAUCGAUGACCAAUCCAACCUCUGGAACUGCAGCUCCUGAGGUGGGGGGUGGCGUCGCAGAAGGUAGGCGGAAGAACCCAGAGAGCUUGUGGUCCGGCUUCUGUGGUCCAUGAAGUUGCUUUACCUCUUCCAAUACCAAGUUGAGGAUGGAUUCACAGGUUUCCUAUAAAGAGCAGAAUAAUGAAUUUGGUGUCAGUAAGCAACAUUAGAAACAGGUUAAAAAUGUCACUUUAUCCUUUAGUUAAGGAGUUAUAAAACUCUACCCCCAUAGAGAUGACCCGGGAUUUCACUUUCUGAUUUUGACAUUUCUCUGCAAUAUUUCAAACAGCAUCAAAGCAAUAGUAAUUUGGAAACAAAUUAAUGGCCAAAAUAGGAGAGACAGCUUGGGAAUGGGAGUGGAGAUAGCACAGCAAGAUGCGGGCCUUUUACAGGGAUGACAGAAUGUAGUAAAUGAUACUGAUACGAUGGCAAAUGAUGACAACGUGUCAUGCUGGUAUCCUACUUUCCAUUUCUCACAAGUCAUUUCUGUUCUCCUUUGUUCCUCAGAACAUUCCUGUGUGGUAGGUAGGGUGAGUAUUACUGACUUUAGUUUCGAGAUGAGGAAAUUGAAACAGUGAAAUCCUUAGUAACUUGCCCAAGGUCAUCUCGAAUUGUGGCUUCUUAACUGAAAAAAUACAUUGCAUGUUUAUCCGUUUGUAUAAAUGUAUUGGUCGUACUGGUUAAAACUGACUAUGUGGGCUUCCCUGGUGGCGCAGUGGUUGAGAGUCUGCCUGCCGAUGCAGGGGACAUGGGUUUGUGCCUUAGUCCGGGAGGAUCCCACAUGCCACGGAGCGGCUGGGCCCGUGAGCCAUGGCCACUGAGCCUGCGUGUCCGGAGCCUGUGCUCCGCAACGGGAGAGGCCACAACAGUGAGAGGCCUGUGUACCGCAAAAAACAAAAAAAAACAAAAAAAAACUGACCAUGUAUGUGAGUCUUAUUGAGUUUUUCUGAUGUUUACCUUGAAACAUGGUGAAGAAAUUAUUUCCUCUUAUCAAUUCUCCUCCAUUACUUUUGUUUGUAUCAAAGAUAAAGACAGAUCUUGGAUCUAAAGAUAUCCUUAAUACCUCUUUCACUUGUUUACACAUCACUUUUAAAUAAAGAUAGAGAAAAGUGGUGGCAGUCAGCUGUACUAUCAAUUUUAAUUUCAUUGUUCUGUUCACGGGGUCUUUAUUUAGCAGUGUUCUUUUAUCCGUGGCAAGGGAUGAUGAUUUUUCAUUUACUUUAGUGCUAAAAAUUCUUCUAAAAAUAAGUUUUGAAAAGUUCAAAGUGAGUCUAUUUAAAUGAAAUCAUUAAAUAAACAACAGUAUAGAUAAUAUGUGGAUUUAGGCAAAAAUCGUGAAGGUUGUUCUGAA